rnacentral:piRNA from 1 species
UAAUAUAGUCUAUCCUAAAACUUACAGG